rnacentral:rRNA from 1 species
UACGAAUCGUGCGAACGUUGUUCGGAAUCACUGGGCUUAAAGGGCGCGUAGGCUGCCAUCUAAGUCAGAGGUGAAAUCCCAUAGCUUAACUAUGGAAGUGCCUUUGAUACUGGAUGGCUCGAGGGAGGUAGGGGCAGAUGGAACUUCCGGUGGAGCGGUGAAAUGUGUUGAUAUCGGAAGGAACGCCGGUGGCGAAAGCGAUCUGCUGGACCUCUACUGACGCUGAGGCGCGAAAGCCAGGGGAGCAAACGGG